rnacentral:rRNA from 1 species
UACGGAGGGGGCUAGCGUUAUUCGGAAUCACUGGGCGUAAAGGGCGCGUAGGCGGCCUGAUAAGUAGGGGGUGAAAUCCUGCGGCUUAACCGCAGGGCUGCCUUCUAAACUGUCUGGCUAGAGCACGGUAGAGGCAGAUGGAAUUCCCGGUGUAGCGGUGGAAUGCGUAGAGAUCGGGAAGAACAUCAGUGGCGAAGGCGGUCUGCUGGGCCGUUGCUGACGCUGAGGCGCGACAGCGUGGGGAGCAAACAGG